AACGAACGCUGGCGGCAGGCUUAACACAUGCAAGUCGAGCGCCCCGCCAGGGGAGCGGCAGACGGGUGAGUAACGCGUGGGGACGUACCUUUUGGUUCGGAACAACUCCGGGAAACUGGAGCUAAUACCGGAUAAGCCCUAACGGGGAAAGAUUUAUCGCCGAAAGAUCGGCCCGCGUCUGAUUAGCUAGGUGGUGAGGUAACGGCUCACCAAGGCGACGAUCAGUAGCUGGUCUGAGAGGAUGAUCAGCCACACUGGGACUGAGACACGGCCCAGACUCCGACGGGAGGCAGCAGUGGGGAAUAUUGGACAAUGGGCGCAAGCCUGAUCCAGCCAUGCCGCGUGAGUGAUGAAGGCCUUAGGGUUGUAAAGCUCUUUUGUCCGGGAAGAUAAUGACUGUACCGGAAGAAUAAGCCCCGGCUAACUUCGUG
rnacentral:rRNA from 1 species